UACAGAGGUCCCAAGCGUUAUUCGGAUUCACUGGGCGUAAAGGGUGCGCAGGCGGUUGGGUGUGUCAGAUGUGAAAUCCCGAGGCUUAACCUCGGAACUGCGUCUGAAACUACUCGACUAGAGUACUGGAGAGGGUAACGGAAUUCACGGUGUAGCAGUGAAAUGCGUAGAUAUCGUGAGGAACACCAGAGGCGAAGGCGGUUACCUGGACAGUUACUGACGCUCAGGCACGAAAGCAUGGGGAGCAAACGGG
rnacentral:rRNA from 1 species